rnacentral:rRNA from 1 species
UACGUAGGGGGCAAGCGUUGUCCGGAUUUAUUGGGCGUAAAGAGCGUGUAGGCGGCCAUGUAGGUCCGUUGUGAAAACUCGAGGCUCAACCUCGAGACGCCGAUGGAAACCAUGUGGCUAGAGUCCGGAAGAGGAGAGUGGAAUUCCUGGUGUAGCGGUGAAAUGCGCAGAUAUCAGGAAGAACACCCGUGGCGAAGGCGGCCCACUGGGCCGGUACUGACGCUGAGGCGCGAAGGCGUGGGGAGCGAACGGG